rnacentral:lncRNA from 1 species
GCUCAUGCUUUCCCUCCUAAAAGGGUUGAGCGUCUCCGUCGUGCGUCACCUUUGUCAUACCUCUCAUCCUCUCCUUCAUGCACGCCGCCUGUCCAGUACACAGGUCGUCAACUGCUUUCCCUUGAGGAUUUUAACCAAGUCAUUGCUUCUACCCCUAUUAGAGCUGCUCUUCCUGCUAGCCCCAGGCCAGCCUCAUAGCCCGGCCGCUUUCCUAGAGUCUAUCCGGG